GUACGCUGGCGGCACGCCUAACACAUGCAAGUCGAACGAAGUAGCAAUACUUAGUGGCAGACGGGUGAGUAACAUGUGGGUAUCUGCCCUUUGGCCUGGAAUAACACGAGGAAACUUGUGCUAAUACCGGAUAAGUCUUUACGGAGAAAGCUUUAUGCACCAUUGGAUGAGCCCGCACUUGAUUAGUUUGUUGGUGGGGUAAUGGCCUACCAAGACUUUGAUCAAUAGCUGAUUUGAGAGGAUGAUCAGCCACAUUGGGACUGAGACACGGCCCAAACUCCUACGGGAGGCAGCAGUGGGGAAUCUUGCACAAUGGAGGAAACUCUGAUGCAGCGAUGCCGCGUGAGUGAAGAAGGCCCUUGGGUUGUAAAGCUCUUUCGUCGGGGAAGAAAAUGACUGUACCCGAAUAAGAAGGUCCGGCUAACUUCGUGCCAGCAGCCGCGGUAAUACGAAGGGACCUAGCGUAGUUCGGAAUUACUGGGCUUAAAGAGUUCGUAGGUGGUUGAAAAAGUUGGUGGUGAAAUCCCAGAGCUUAACUCUGGAACUGCCAUCAAAACUUUUCAGCUAGAGUUUGAUAGAGGAAAGCAGAAUUUCUAGUGUAGAGGUGAAAUUCGUAGAUAUUAGAAAGAAUACCAAUUGCGAAGGCAGCUUUCUGGAUCAUUACUGACACUGAGGAACGAAAGCAUGGGUAGCGAAGAGGAUUAGAUACCCUCGUAGUCCAUGCCGUAAACGAUGUGUGUUAGACGUUGGAAAUUAAUUUUCAGUGUCGCAGCGAAAGCGAUAAACACACCGCCUGGGGAGUACGACCGCAAGGUUAAAACUCAAAUGAAUUGACGGGGACCCGCACAAGUAGUGGAGCAUGUGGUUUAAUUCGAAGAUACGCGCAGAACCUUACCAACACUUGACAUGUUCGUCGCGACUUUAAGAGAUUAAAGUUUUCGGUUCGGCCGGACGAAACACAGGUGCUGCAUGGCUGUCGUCAGCUCGUGUCGUGAGAUGUUGGGUUAAGUCCCGCAACGAGCGCAACCCUCACUUUUAGUUGCCAUCAUUUAGUUGGGCACUCUGAAAGAACUGCCAGUGAUAAGCUGGAGGAAGGUGGGGAUGACGUCAAGUCCUCAUGGCCCUUACGUGUUGGGCUACACACGUGCUACAAUGGUAUCUACAACAGGAAGCGAAACAGCGAUGUUAAGCAAAUCCUUAAAAGAUACCUCAGUUCGGAUUGCACUCUGCAACUCGAGUGCAUGAAGCUGGAAUUACUAGUAAUCGUGGAUCAGCGUGCCACGGUGAAUGCGUUCCCGGGUCUUGUACACACCGCCCGUCACACCAUGGGAGUUGGUUCUACCUUAAGGCAAGGUUUAAUACCCUUGACCACGGUAUAGUCAGCGACUGGGGUGAAGUCGUAACAAGGUAGCC
rnacentral:rRNA from 1 species